rnacentral:rRNA from 1 species
AAAGUUCCCUUCGGGGAGCAAGUAGAGUGGCGCACGGGUGAGUAACACGUAGGUAAUCUACCUUUGGAUUGGGAAUAACAACCGGAAACGGUUGCUAAUACCGAAUAAUGCAGCGGCACCUAAUGGUGACAGUUGUUAAAGCGGGGGAUCGCAAGACCUCGCGUCUGAAGAGGAGCCUGCGGCAGAUUAGCUAGUUGGUAAGGUAACGGCUUACCAAGGCUAUGAUCUGUAGCCGGCCUGAGAGGGCGGUCGGCCACACUGACACUGACAUACGGGUCAGACUCCUACGGGAGGCAGCAGUCGGGAAUUUUGGGCAAUGGGCGAAAGCCUGACCCAGCAACGCCGCGUGAAGGAUGAAAUCCUUCGGGAUGUAAACUUCGCAAGAACGGGAAGAAUAAGCCGGUGCAAAUAUCACCGGCGAUGACGGUACUGUUUGUAAGCUCCGGCUAACUCCGUGCCAGCAGCCGCGGUAAUACGGGGGGAGCAAGCGUUGUUCGGAUUUACUGGGCGUAAAGGGCGCGUAGGCGGCCACCGCAAGUCAGUUGUGAAAUCUCUGGGCUUAACCCAGAAAGGUCAACUGAUACUGCGGGGCUAGAGUGCAGAAGGGGCAACUGGAAUUCUCGGUGUAGCGGUGAAAUGCGUAGAUAUCGAGAGGAACACCUGCGGCGAANGCGGGUUGCUGGGCUGACACUGACGCUGAUGCGCGAAAGCUAGGGGAGCGAACGGGAUUAGAUACCCCGGUAGUCCUAGCCUUAAACGAUGAAUGCUUGGUGUCUGGGGUUUUAUAGUCCCCCGGGUGCCGU